rnacentral:rRNA from 1 species
AUUGAACGCUGGCGGCAUGCUUUACACAUGCAAGUCGAACGGCAGCGCGGGCUUCGGCCUGGCGGCGCGUGGCGAACGGGUGAGUAAUUCAUCGGAACGUGCCCAGUAGUGGGGGAUAGCCCGGCGAAAGCCGGAUUAAUACCGCAUACGACCUGAGGGUGAAAGCGGGGGACCGAAAGGCCUCGCGCUAUUGGAGCGGCCGAUGUCGGAUUAGCUAGUUGGUGGGGUAAAGGCUUACCAAGGCGACGAUCCGUAGCUGGUCUGAGAGGACGACCAGCCACACUGGGACUGAGACACGGCCCAGACUCCUACGGGAGGCAGCAGUGGGGAAUUUUGGACAAUGGGGGCAACCCUGAUCCAGCCAUGCCGCGUGCGGGAAGAAGGCCUUCGGGUUGUAAAACGCUUUUGUUCGGGAAGAAAUCCUCUGGGCUAAUACCCCGGGGGGAUGACGGUACCGGAAGAAUAAGCACCGGCUAACUACGUG